rnacentral:rRNA from 1 species
ACUCUCGGCAACGGAUAUCUUGGCUCUCGCAUCGAUGAAGAACGUAGCAAAAUGCGAUAGCUGGUGUGAAUUGCAGAAUCCCGUGAACCAUCGAGUCUUUGAACGCAAGUUGCGCCCGAAGCCGUUAGGCCAAGGGCACGCCUGCCUGGGUGUCA